UACGUAGGGUGCGAGUGUUAAUCGGAAUUACUGGGCGUAAAGCGUGCGCAGGCGGUUUUGUAAGCCAGAUGUGAAAUCCCCGGGCUUAACCUGGGAAUGGCAUUUGGGACUGCAAGGCUCGAGUGCGGCAGAGGAGACUGGAAUUCCUGGUGUAGCAGUGAAAUGCGUAGAUAUCAGGAGGAACACCGAUGGCGAAGGCAGGUCUCUGGGCUGACACUGACGCUCAUGCACGAAAGCGUGGGGAGCAAACAGG
rnacentral:rRNA from 1 species